rnacentral:lncRNA from 1 species
AUGAACAAAGAUAGUGGAGGUGAUGGAAUUCCAGUUGAGCUAUUUCGAAACCUGAAAGAUGAUGCUGUCAAAGUGCUGCACUCAAUAUGCCAGCAAAUUUGGAAAACUCAGCAGUGGCCACAAGACUGGGAAAGGUCAGCUUUCAUUCCAAUCCCAAAGAAAGGCAAUGCCAAAGAAUGCCCAAACUACCACACAAUUGUACUCAUCUCACAUGCUAGUAAAGUAAUGCUCAAAUUUCUCCAAGCCAGGCUUCAGCAAUACGUGAACUGUGAACUUCCUGAUGUUCAACCUGGUUUUAGAAAAGGCAGAGGAACCAGAGAUCAAACUGCCAACAUCUGCUGGAUCAUCGAAAAAGCAAGAGAGUUACAGAAAAACAUCUAUUUUUGCUUUAUUGACUAUGCCAAAGCCUUUGACUGUGUGGAUCACAAUAAACUGUGGAAAAUUCUGAAAGAGAUGGGAAUACCAGACCACCUGACCUACCUCUUAAGAAAUCUGUAUGCAGGUCAGGAAGCAGCAGUUAGAACUGGACAUGGAACAACAGACUGGUUCCAAACAGCAAAAGGAGUACAUCAAGGCUGUAUACUGUCACCUUGCUUAUUUAACUUAUAUGCAGAGUACAUCAUGAGAAACACUGGACUGGAAGAAACACAAGCUGGAAUCAAGAUUGCCGGGAAAAAUAUCAAUGACCUCAGAUAUGCAGAUGGCACCACCCUUAUGUCAGAAAGUGAAGAGGAGCUAAAAAGCCUCUUGAUGAAAGUGAAAGUAGAGAGUGGAAAAGUUGGCUUAAAGCUCAACAUUCAGAAAAUAAAUAUCAUGGCAUCUGGUCCCAUCACUUCAUGGGAAAUAGAUGCGGAAACAGUGGAAACAGUGUCAGACUUUAUUUUUGGGGGCUCCAAAAUCACUGCAGAUGGUGACUGCAGCCAUGAAAUUAAAAGACGCUUAUUCCUUGGAAGAAAAGUUAUGGCCAACCUAGAUAGCAUAUUGAAAAGCAGAGAUAUUACUUUGCCGACUAAGGUCCAUCUAGUCAAGGCUAUGGUUUUUCCCGUAGUCAUGUAUGGAUGUGAGAGUUGGACUGUGAAGAAGGCUGAGCACCGAAGAAUUGAUGCUUUUGAACUGUGGUGUUGGAGAAGACUCUUGAGAGUUCCUUGGACUGUGAGGAGAUCCAACCAGUCCAUUGUGAAGGAGAUCCACCCUGGGGUUUCUUUGGAAGGACUGAUGCUAAAGCUGAAACUCCAGUACUUUGGCCACCUCCUUUGA